CCUACGUGAGACUGCAGUGAGGAAUAUUGGUCAAUGGACGAGAGUCUGAACCAGCCAAGUAGCGUGAAGGAUGACUGCCCUAUGGGUUGUAAACUUCUUUUAUAUGGGAAUAAAAUGUUCCACGUGUGGGAUUUUGUAUGUACCAUAUGAAUAAGGAUCGGCUAACUCCGUGCCAGCAGCCGCGGUAAUACGGAGGAUCCGAGCGUUAUCCGGAUUUAUUGGGUUUAAAGGGAGCGUAGGUGGAUUGUUAAGUCAGUUGUGAAAGUUUGCGGCUCAACCGUAAAAUUGCAGUUGAAACUGGCAGUCUUGAGUACAGUAGAGGUGGGCGGAAUUCGUGGUGUAGCGGUGAAAUGCUUAGAUAUCACGAAGAACUCCGAUUGCGAAGGCAGCUCACUGGACUGCAACUGACACUGAGGCUCGAAAGUGUGGGUAUCAAACAGGAUUAGAUACCCUAGUAGUC
rnacentral:rRNA from 1 species